AUUGAACGCUGGCGGCAGGCCUAACACAUGCAAGUCGAGCGGAUGAAGGGAGCUUUCUCCUGGCUUCCGCGGCGGACGGGUGAGUAAUGCAUAGGAAUCUGCCUGGUAGUGGGGGAUAACGUCCGGAAACGGGCGCUAAUACCGCAUACGUCCUGAUGGAGAAAGGGGUGGAUCUUCAGAGCUCGCGCUAUCUGAUGAGACUAGGUCGGAUUAGCUAGUUGGUUGGGUAAAGGCCUACCAAGGCGACGAUCCGUAACUGGUCUGAGAGGAUGAUCAGUCACACUGGAACUGAGACACGGUCCAGACUCCUACGGGAGGCAGCAGUGGGGAAUAUUGGACAAUGGGCGAAAGCCUGAUCCAGCAAUGCCGCGUGUGUGAAGAAGGUCUUCGGAUUGUAAAGCUCUUUAAGUUGGGAGGAAGGGCAGUAAGUUAAUACCUUGCUGUUUUGACGUUACCAACAGAAUAAGCACCGGCUAACUUCGUG
rnacentral:rRNA from 1 species